rnacentral:rRNA from 1 species
CCUACGGGAGGCUGCAGUGAGGAAUAUUGGUCAAUGGACGAGAGUCUGAACCAGCCAAGUAGCGUGAAGGAUGACUGCCCUAUGGGUUGUAAACUUCUUUUAUAUGGGAAUAAAAUGUUCCACGUGUGGGAUUUUGUAUGUACCAUAUGAAUAAGGAUCGGCUAACUCCGUGCCAGCAGCCGCGGUAAUACGGAGGAUCCGAGCGUUAUCCGGAUUUAUUGGGUUUAAAGGGAGCGUAGGUGGAUUGUUAAGUCAGUUGUGAAAGUUUGCGGCUCAACCAUAAAAUUGCAGUUGAAACUGGCAGUCUUGAGUACAGUAGAGGUGGGCGGAAUUCGUGGUGUAGCGGUGAAAUGCUUAGAUAUCACGAAGAACUCCGAUUGCGAAGGCAGUUCACUGGACUGCAACUGACACUGAGGCUCGAAAGUGUGGGUAUCAAACAGGAUUAGAUACCCUUGUAGUC